UCAAGCUACAAAGGGCGCAUGGUGAAUGCCUUGGCAUCAGGAGCCGAUGAAGGACGUGAUAAGCUGCGAUAAGCUUCGGGUAGGCGCACAUAGCCUGAGAUCCGAAGAUCUCCGAAUGAGGAAACUCACAUGGGAAACCCCAUGUAUCAUUAAGUGAAUACAUAGCUUAAUGAAGGUAACCCAGGGAACUGAAACAUCUAAGUACCUGGAGGAAGAGAAAGAAAAAUCGAUUUUCUUAGUAGCGGCGAGCGAAAGGGAAAGAGCCCAAACCGGAAACUUGUUUCCGGGGUUGUGGACAUAACAUAAAAGUGGAGGCUAUUGUAACUGAAGAGAACUGGAAAGUUCCACCGUAGAAGGUAAUAGUCCUGUAAGUGAAACGAGAAGACCACGAGUUAUGAUCCAGAGUACCACGAGACACGUGAAACCUUGUGGGAAGCAGGGAGGACCACCUCCCAAGGCUAAAUACUACCUGAUGACCGAUAGUGAAGCAGUACCGUGAGGGAAAGGUGAAAAGAACCCCGGGAGGGGAGUGAAAUAGAACCUGAAACCGUGUGCCUACAACCGCUCAGAGCCCCUUAUGAGGGUGAUGAGGUGCUUUUUGUAGAACGAGCCAACGAGUUACGGUAUGUAGCAAGGUUAAGUACUUAAGGUACGGAGCCGAAGGGAAACCGAGUCUGAAUAGGGCGACUAGUUGCAUGCCGUAGACCCGAAACCGGGUGACCUAUCCAUGGCCAGGUUGAAGCGAGGGUAAAACCUCGUGGAGGACCGAACCACGUUGCUGUUGAAAAAGCAUGGGAUGAGCUGUGGAUAGCGGAGAAAUUCCAAUCGAACCCGGAGAUAGCUGGUUCUCUCCGAAAUAGCUUUAGGGCUAGCGUCGAGUAUGAGUAGUGGAGGUAGAGCACUGAAUGGGCUAGGGGGCAUAGCGCUUACCGAACCUUAUCAAACUCCGAAUGCCACAUACUUUGAGCUCGGCAGUCAGACUACGAAUGAUAAGAUCCGUGGUCAAAAGGGAAACAGCCCAGAUCGUCAGCUAAGGUCCCAAAGUGUAAGUUAAGUGGGAAAGGAUGUGAGAUUUCUAAGACAACUAGGAUGUUGGCUUAGAAGCAGCCAUUCAUUAAAAGAGUGCGUAAUAGCUCACUAGUCGAGAGAUCUUGCGCCGAAAAUGUAACGGGGCUAAACUUACCACCGAAGCUACGGGCUUGAACUUAGUUCAAGCGGUAGGAGAGCGUCGUAACCGGGCUGAAGUCGUACCGUAAGGAGCGGUGGACUGGUUACGAGUGAGAAUGUUGGCAUCAGUAGCGAGAUGUGGGUGAGAAUCCCACAGGGCCGAAAACCUAAGGUUUCCUCAGGAAGGUUCGUCCGCUGAGGGUUAGUCGGGACCUAAGCCGAGGCCGAAAGGCGUAGGUGAUGGACAACUGGUUGAUAUUCCAGUACCACUACCAUCGUUAUUAUCGAUGGCGUGACGCAGGAGGAUAGUGUGUGCUAGCUAUUGGAUGCUAGUCUAAGCGUUUAGGCAGUGAGAGUAGGCAAAUCCGCUCUCAUAAUGCUGAGGCGUGAUGGGGAAGGUUCUACGGAACCGAAGUACAUGAUUCCACGCUGCCAAGAAAAGCGUCUAGAGAGAGAAGUAGUGCCCGUACCGCAAACCGACACAGGUAGGUGAGGGAGAGAAUCCUAAGGCCGGCGGAAGAAUUACAGUUAAGGAACUCGGCAAAUUGACCCCGUAAGUUCGCGAGAAGGGGUGCCUACGAGAGUAGGCCGCAGAGAAUAGGCCCAAGCAACUGUUUAGCAAAAACACAGGUCUCUGCUAAAGCGUAAGCUGAUGUAUAGGGGCUGACGCCUGCCCGGUGCUGGAAGGUUAAGGGGAACACUUAGCGCAAGCGAAGGUGUGAACUUAAGCCCCAGUAAACGGCGGCCGUAACUAUAACGGUCCUAAGGUAGCGAAAUUCCUUGUCAGGUAAGUUCUGACCCGCACGAAUGGCGUAAUGACUUGGGCACUGUCUCAACUGUAAAUCCGGCGAAGUUGUAGUGCGAGUGAAGAUGCUCGCUACCCGCGAUUGGACGGAAAGACCCCGUAGAGCUUUACUGUAGCUUAGCAUUGAGUUUUGGUAUUGUCUGUACAGGAUAGGUGGGAGACUAGGAAACCAGGGCGUCAGCCUUGGUGGAGUCAACCUUGGGAUACCACCCUGACAGUACUGAAAUUCUAACUGGCGGCCAUGAAUCUGGUCACAGGACAUUGUUAGGUGGGCAGUUUGACUGGGGCGGUCGCCUCCUAAAAAGUAACGGAGGCGCCCAAAGGUUCCCUCAGAACGGUCGGAAAUCGUUCGAAGAGUGCAAAGGCAGAAGGGAGCCUGACUGCGACACCCACAAGUGGAGCAGGGACGAAAGUCGGGCUUAGUGAUCCGGUGGUACCUCGUGGGAGGGCCAUCGCUCAACGGAUAAAAGCUACCUCGGGGAUAACAGGCUGAUCUCCCCCAAGAGUCCACAUCGACGGGGAGGUUUGGCACCUCGAUGUCGGCUCGUCGCAUCCUGGGGCUGAAGUAGGUCCCAAGGGUUGGGCUGUUCGCCCAUUAAAGCGGCACGCGAGCUGGGUUCAGAACGUCGUGAGACAGUUCGGUCCCUAUCCGUCGCGGGCGUAGGAAAUUUGAGAGGAGCUGUCCUUAGUACGAGAGGACCGGGAUGGACUGACCUCUGGUGUACCAGUUGUUCCGCCAGGAGCACAGCUGGGUAGCUAAGUCGGGAAUGGAUAAACGCUGAAAGCAUCUAAGCGUGAAGCCAACCUCAAGAUGAGAUUUCCCAUAGCGUAAGCUAGUAAGAUCCCUUGAAGAACACAAGGUUGAUAGGUCGGGGGUGUAAGCAUGGUAACAUGUUCAGCUGACCGAUACUAAUAGAUCGAGGGCUUGACCAA
rnacentral:rRNA from 1 species